AACGUACGCUGGCGGCACGCCUAACACAUGCAAGUCGAACGAAGUAGCAAUACUUAGUGGCAGACGGGUGAGUAACAUGUGGGUAUCUGCCCUUUGGCCUGGAAUAACACGAGGAAACUUGUGCUAAUACCGGAUAAGUCUUUACGGAGAAAGCUUUAUGCACCAUUGGAUGAGCCCGCACUUGAUUAGUUUGUUGGUGGGGUAAUGGCCUACCAAGACUGUGAUCAAUAGCUGAUUUGAGAGGAUGAUCAGCCACAUUGGGACUGAGACACGGCCCAAACUCCUACGGGAGGCAGCAGUGGGGAAUCUUGCACAAUGGAGGAAACUCUGAUGCAGCGAUGCCGCGUGAGUGAAGAAGGCCCUUGGGUUGUAAAGCUCUUUCGUCGGGGAAGAAAAUGACUGUACCCGAAUAAGAAGGUCCGGCUAACUUCGUGCCAGCAGCCGCGGUAAUACGAAGGGACCUAGCGUAGUUCGGAAUUACUGGGCUUAAAGAGUUCGUAGGUGGUUGAAAAAGUUAGUGGUGAAAUCCCAGAGCUUAACUCUGGAACUGCCAUUAAAACUUUUCAGCUAGAGUAUGAUAGAGGAAAGCAGAAUUUCUAGUGUAGAGGUGAAAUUCGUAGAUAUUAGAAAGAAUACCAAUUGCGAAGGCAGCUUUCUGGAUCAUUACUGACACUGAGGAACGAAAGCAUGGGUAGCGAAGAGGAUUAGAUACCCUCGUAGUCCAUGCCGUAAACGAUGUGUGUUAGACGUUGGAAAUUUAUUUUCAGUGUCGCAGCGAAAGCGAUAAACACACCGCCUGGGGAGUACGACCGCAAGGUUAAAACUCAAAUGAAUUGACGGGGACCCGCACAAGUAGUGGAGCAUGUGGUUUAAUUCGAAGAUACGCGCAGAACCUUACCAACACUUGACAUGUUCGUCGCGACUCUAAGAGAUUAGAGUUUUCGGUUCGGCCGGACGAAACACAGGUGCUGCAUGGCUGUCGUCAGCUCGUGUCGUGAGAUGUUGGGUUAAGUCCCGCAACGAGCGCAACCCUCACUUUUAGUUGCCAUCAUUAAGUUGGGCACUCUGAAAGAACUGCCAGUGAUAAGCUGGAGGAAGGUGGGGAUGACGUCAAGUCCUCAUGGCCCUUACGUGUUGGGCUACACACGUGCUACAAUGGUAUCUACAACAGGAAGCAAGACUGCGAGGUCAAGCAAAUCCUUAAAAGAUACCUCAGUUCGGAUUGCACUCUGCAACUCGAGUGCAUGAAGCUGGAAUUGCUAGUAAUCGUGGAUCAGCGUGCCACGGUGAAUGCGUUCCCGGGUCU
rnacentral:rRNA from 1 species